GAGAGUAGUUUAAAUAAAAUAUUAAUUUUGGAGAUUAAAGAUAGAAUAGAAAUUCUUUCUCUGA
rnacentral:tRNA from 1 species